rnacentral:rRNA from 1 species
UUGGGUGACCAGCGGAGGGAUCAUUACCGAGUUUACAACUCCCAAACCCAAUGUGAACGUUACCAAACUGUUGCCUCGGCGGGAUCUCUGCCCCGGGUGCGUCGCAGCCCCGGACCAAGGCGCCCGCCGGAGGACCAACCAAAACUCUUAUUGUAUACCCCCUCGCGGGUUUUUUUAUAAUCUGAGCCUUCUCGGCGCCUCUCGUAGGCGUUUCGAAAAUGAAUCAAAACUUUCAACAACGGAUCUCUUGGUUCUGGCAUCGAUGAAGAACGCAGCGAAAUGCGAUAAGUAAUGUGAAUUGCAGAAUUCAGUGAAUCAUCGAAUCUUUGAACGCACAUUGCGCCCGCCAGUAUUCUGGCGGGCAUGCCUGUCCGAGCGUCAUUUCAACCCUCGAACCCCUCCGGGGGGUCGGCGUUGGGGAUCGGCCCUGCCUUGGCGGUGGCCGUCUCCGAAAUACAGUGGCGGUCUCGCCGCAGCCUCUCCUGCGCAGUAGUUUGCACACUCGCAUCGGGAGCGCGGCGCGUCCACAGCCGUUAAACACCCAACUUCUGAAAUGUUGACCUCGGAUCAGGUAGGAAUACCCGCUGAACUUAAGCAUAUCAAUAAGCGGAGGA